AAAUUGAAGAGUUUGAUCAUGGCUCAGAUUGAACGCUGGCGGCAGGCCUAACACAUGCAAGUCGAGCGGCAGCGGGAAGUAGUUUACUACUUUGCCGGCGAGCGGCGGACGGGUGAGUAAUGUCUGGGAAACUGCCUGAUGGAGGGGGAUAACUACUGGAAACGGUAGCUAAUACCGCAUAACGUCUUCGGACCAAAGUGGGGGACCUUCGGGCCUCACGCCAUCGGAUGUGCCCAGAUGGGAUUAGCUAGUAGGUGGGGUAAUGGCUCACCUAGGCGACGAUCCCUAGCUGGCCUGAGAGGAUGACCAGCCACACUGGAACUGAGACCCGGUCCAGACUCCUACGGGAGGCAGCAGGGGGGAAUAUUGCACCAUGG
rnacentral:rRNA from 1 species